CCAGGCUAGCUGGUGAAUCUCCAGAGCCAUGAUAAGCUCCCAAAGAAAUGCUUCCACUGGGGAGUCCUUCAAGCAUGAUGAUGAUGAUGAUGGUGGUGGUGGUGAUGGUGAUGAUGAUGAUGAUGUCAUCGUCGAUGCCCUACAGGACCCCAUUCCUCUUUGAGACUUCACAUGAUCCUCAAGAAGUGAUGCUCUUGGGGGAAAGAGAGAGCAAAGAAGGCUGAAAUAUGGCCCUGAAGGUCAUCUUGCACGUCAGCAUUGGGACGCGCCCCGGAGCCCCUUGUGUCCUGGCUCCCAGCCUGGACCACAACACAGGCCCCAUUGACUCCUAUGUACCCUCUUUCCCAAGAUGCCCACAAAGUCAUGGGCUCAUGGUUCCUAGCCUCUGAGCCCCCCAAGAAGGCCAGGGUUGGCGAGAAGAACAUAAACUGCACCUGCACAGGAGUCUCUCAAGUCCAGGCUGAAGGUCAUGGCCAACCUUUAGGCCUUAUCCUACCCAGUCUGAAAUGGAGUCAAAUGGAGACCCAGGCCCAGGAUCCUCACUUGGGACUCUUGGACAUUCAGAACCCUUUUCUGACAUCUCGCCUCACCUUUGAGCUUGAGCUUGGUUGACCUCCUUUCC
rnacentral:lncRNA from 1 species